UACGUAGGGUGCAAGCGUUUGUCCGGAAUUAUUGGGCGUAAAGAGCUCGUAGGCGGUCUGUCACGUCGGCUGUGAAAACCCGAGGCUCAACCUCGGGCCUGCAGUCGAUACGGGCAGACUAGAGUUCGGUAGGGGAGACUGGAAUUCCUGGUGUAGCGGUGAAAUGCGCAGAUAUCAGGAGGAACACCGGUGGCGAAGGCGGGUCUCUGGGCCGAAACUGACGCUGAGGAGCGAAAGCGUGGGGAGCGAACAGGA
rnacentral:rRNA from 1 species